GACGAACGCUGGCGGCGUGCUUAACACAUGCAAGUCGAACGGAAAGGCCCUGCUUUUGUGGGGUGCUCGAGUGGCGAACGGGUGAGUAACACGUGAGUAACCUGCCCUUGACUUUGGGAUAACUUCAGGAAACUGGGGCUAAUACCCGAUAGGAGCUCCUGCUGCAUGGUGGGGGUUGGAAAGUUUCGGCGGUUGGGGAUGGACUCGCGGCUUAUCAGCUUGUUGGUGGGGUAGUGGCUUACCAAGGCUUUGACGGGUAGCCGGCCUGGGAGGGUGGCCGGCCACAUUGGGACUGAGAUACGGCCCAGACUCCUACGGGAGGCAGCAGUGGGGAAUAUUGCACAAUGGGCGGAAGCCUGAUGCAGCAACGCCGCGUGCGGGAUGACGGCCUUCGGGUUGUAAACCGCUUUCGCCUGUGACGAAGCGUGAGUGACGGUAAUGGGUAAAGAAGCACCGGCUAACUACGUG
rnacentral:rRNA from 1 species